rnacentral:rRNA from 1 species
GACGAACGCUGGCGGCAGGCCUAACACAUGCAAGUCGAACGAGAAGCCACCUUCGGGUGGUGGAAAGUGGCAGACGGGUGAGUAACGCGUGGGAACGUGCCUUUCGGUUCGGGAUAACCCAGGGAAACUCGGGCUAAUACCGGAUACGCCCUCCGGGGGAAAGAUUCAUUGCCGAAAGAUCGGCCCGCGUCGGAUUAGCUAGUUGGUAGGGUAAUGGCCUACCAAGGCGACGAUCCGUAGCUGGUCUGAGAGGAUGACCAGCCACACUGGGACUGAGACACGGCCCAAACUCCUACGGGAGGCAGCAGUGGGGAAUCUUGCGCAAUGGGCGAAAGCCUGACGCAGCCAUGCCGCGUGGAUGAUGAAGGUCUUAGGAUUGUAAAAUCCUUUCACCGGUGAAGAUAAUGACUGUAGCCGGAGAAGAAGCCCCGGCUAACUUCGUGCCAGCAGCCGCCGUAAAAC